rnacentral:tRNA from 1 species
GGAGAAGUGGCCGAGUUGGCUGAAGGCGCACGCCUGCUAAGCGUGUUAUGGGCGUAAAACUCAUACGAGAGUUCGAAUCUCUCCUUCUCCGCCA